ensembl:lncRNA LINC01065 long intergenic non-protein coding RNA 1065
GGUAGGGGCAUGCAGAAGACCUGAUGACACAAACCCUCCAAAGAGUUUCACCCUCACCACAACAGGUGGCUUCCUGCUCGGCAGCCCAUCCUGCAUCACUUCAGUGGACUUCUCUGACAUCUACUAGACCACAUUAAAUGAAUCACAGCCUUGAAACUGAACUGGAAGGACUUCCUUCAAGGAGCCAGCAUAUGAACUUGCUGCCUAUCUUUAGCAAGGAGAUGCAAAUGACAUCCACAAACCUCUUCUGCUGUAUACCUGGAUGAAAGCAAGGCUAGCUGUGUGUCCUAUGGCACCAAGGACUGAAAGAUUGUAAGAAGUAAGACACCGAGAACUGGAAAAAAAUCUCUGAUUGUCCUGCAGCAAUGGCAUUAAAGGCUCCUCAUAACAUACAGAACCAGAAUUGUGCCAUAAUUUACUGAAAUUGAACAUUGCUCUGUGACUGCUAAUUUUCCAUCGAGAUGAUUCUGUCUCUAACCAAGAAAAGAAAAGUUUGUCUUCCUGACUGCUGACACUGCUGACCAAGCCCACCACCAGAUGCCUGGCUGCACACCCAGAGGGCAGCCGCUUCCCGUGGUCCUCUCGAAGAACUUCCCUUUUGCAAUGCAUGUUUAGCAAGUGGAUGAGUUUGUCUUUUCUGAUUUCUCUGCAAGCUCUGCAUUGCCCACCUGAACCAGUGCUUCAGAAGAACUAAUGGGAUCUCUGACCCUCCAACAUCCUCUUCCAGACUUUCACUUUCCUGGCUCCUUGCAGGGACAUGUAAUAAACGUGCUCUCCAGAGAAA